GGGGAGGGUGAGAGAAAACAGGCGUGUCCACUCACCACGCUCACGGGGAUUAGCUAUUUAAAGUUCAUGCGCUCCGCGCCACGGAAACCUUUCUCACACUCCCAACAGGGACUCGGGACGUGCAGGACGGCGCGGCGCGCACUCAUCCACAUUUUGACGCGCGUAUGAAAAGUCAUUAGCGGCGUUUCAGCUGGAAAACUAUCAACUGGAUCCAGGUCUGCUCCUGUCUACAAGUCUGCAACAGGCGGCUGUCAUGGGCGUGAAGAUGCUGCAGUGUUUUCCCUUCUACAGACGCUGUAAAGAGCGCUGCAAGAGCAGAGAGUGCCCCCCCGCUGCAGUUCCUAUAGAGGAGAUGAAGCCGCGUCUGUCCUCCACCACAUCGUGGAGCAGCGACAGUGAAGGAGCAGGAGGCCUCAGCCGAGGUUCUCAGAUCUACUUCUCCACCAAGGCCAGGCUGUCAUUCAGACACCAGCUGGACAGCAACAUCAACGCCGUGGACGCCACCUACUGAAGAGGCUGUAGAAAAGCUAGACGGACUGUGUCUGGGAGCCUGCGGCGCAAAGAUGGGAGCCUGAUAGAUGAGCAUCUAACAUCUUUAGAUGAGAUCAGCAGUUAGUUGUGCAGUUUUAACCUCCUCACUGCCCUCACAGGACUCCUGAUGAAUAGUCAGAUUUGACAGAGGAAAACGGACUGAACCGGACUCGGUUUCUAGUUUUCAUGGACGUGAGAUGGCGCGGAUCCAGUGUCCCGAUACACUGAAGAGAGGGCCAUAUGGCAGGGGGGUUGUUUACAUUAUUCACUACCCAUAAGUGCAUUUUUCUUUUUGAACGUGUUUUUUUCUACUGUUUUUUUUUUUUUUUUUUGAAUACCUUUGUUUUUAAUUUGCUUAUGGCAUCGUGGCCCAAUGCAUAACAGUGAUGUUGACACUGUUUAGCAGCUGUUUAGUCCUUUGAAAGACAAUAAUGAGCUGCAGUAAUUUCUUUGUUAGGUUUAGUCCACAGCCCUGCUUUUGUCUCACUGCAGAUUGUUAUGUACACAGUGGUCUGUUUCUGCCUAAAAUGAGCAGUUACAGAUUUAAGUGCUGAUCCCAACACGACUAAUGAUCACUUUUAACACCACAGCGCAUCAAAAGAGACGCAUCUUAAUCCUUUACUCACAUAAUAACAAAGAAAUUUGCAUUAAAGUGUCUCCUGUCUUUUUUUUAAAAAUGUGAACAAUUAUUUCUUUCUCCACAUGGUUUUAAUUGUCUUGAUGACAAUGUUUACUAAAAAACAGUUGUUCACAGGUAUAUAAAAAAACCCAUACAUUUAAAAAACAGUCUAUAAACAAAACUUGUCUGAACA
rnacentral:lncRNA from 1 species